rnacentral:rRNA from 1 species
AUACGGAGGGUGCAAGCGUUACUCGGAAUCACUGGGCGUAAAGCGCGCGCAGGCGGCUUGAUAAGUUGGAUGUGAAAGCCUACUGCUCAACCGUAGAACUGCAUCCAGAACUGUCAGGCUAGAGUGUGGGAGAGGAAGAUGGAAUUAGUUGUGUAGGGGUAAAAUCCGUAGAGAUAACUAGGAAUACCAAAAGCGAAGGCAAUCUUCUGGAACACUACUGACGCUGAGGCGCGAAGGCGUGGGGAGCAAACAGGAUUAGAAACCCCAGUAGUCC